GCACGGUGGAUGCCCUGGCAGUCAGAGGCGAUGAAGGACGUGCUAAUCUGCGAUAAGCGUCGGUAAGGUGAUAUGAACCGUUAUAACCGGCGAUUUCCGAAUGGGGAAACCCAGUGUGUUUCGACACACUAUCAUUAACUGAAUCCAUAGGUUAAUGAGGCGAACCGGGGGAACUGAAACAUCUAAGUACCCCGAGGAAAAGAAAUCAACCGAGAUUCCCCCAGUAGCGGCGAGCGAACGGGGAGCAGCCCAGAGCCUGAAUCAGUGUGUGUGUUAGUGGAAGCGUCUGGAAAGGCGCGCGAUACAGGGUGACAGCCCCGUACACAAAAAUGCACAUGCUGUGAGCUCGAUGAGUAGGGCGGGACACGUGGUAUCCUGUCUGAAUAUGGGGGGACCAUCCUCCAAGGCUAAAUACUCCUGACUGACCGAUAGUGAACCAGUACCGUGAGGGAAAGGCGAAAAGAACCCCGGCGAGGGGAGUGAAAAAGAACCUGAAACCGUGUACGUACAAGCAGUGGGAGCACGCUUAGGCGUGUGACUGCGUACCUUUUGU
rnacentral:rRNA from 1 species